rnacentral:lncRNA from 1 species
UUAAUGUAAAACCAUUCUUUAGCAAUAGCUUUUACUGAUUAUAGCAGUUCAUGCCUGUAUUCCCAAAACUUGGGAGACUGAGGCAGAAGGAUCUACAUGAAUUCUGGAAUAACCUAGGCUACAGAGUGAGACCCUAUCUCAAUACCCCUACCCCAAAGAAACUUAAUCGCUUUAAAGUUUUCAACAAUUACAGUUAAGUGGGAAAUUACCAUUGUCUUCUAGAGUUUUUCUCAGUGGUCUAAAGAUAGUAUUGAUCUCUGUGAGGAAGCCACUCACAGAGAGCCGUGACGAGGCUCAGGCUGGGAACGCCGGUGUCAGGGUGACCGGUGUCCAGGACGACGCUGACCUCCCGACAGCAGACAGUCCCGACUACCUCAUUCUGUUGCGGCUCUUGUAGUUACUGAGAUGCUCAUCUUAUUAACCAGUGUAACAUUUCCUAAGUGUCCAUCUUUGAUGAAAGAAAAUUUAUAAUAUGGUAAGACUCAGAAUUACAGCUCUAUAUCAGAAUUUGAUAAAACCUUCUGUUUCUGUGAAACAAUAAUUUUUAACAUUUUUCUUUUAAAAAUAACUUUUUAUCAGUACAGAACUAUCUAAAGGAUGACUAGCUUAUGAAUAUUCUGUUAAAAGGUAGUUUUGUAAAGAAAAGUGAAAUAUGUCUUUUAUAGUUGUAAAACUAGUAUUUAUAUGAAAGUCAAAAUCCGUAGCUUUUAAUAUACUUCAGACUGAUUGCUUAUGAUAUAUUUUCUCUGGCUUUUUUAUUCUUUUCAAUUUCGAGGUAUUAACAACUUAAUAUUUUCAAAAUACUGCCAUAUGUGUAGCUUUGAACUGUGUAUUAAAUGAGGAUGAGAGAGAGACCUGUAUACUCUGAAAUGCUUUGUAUCUUUCCUUUGAUACUUACUACAAUAAAAGAAAUUUGGAAAGUUGAGAUAUACAAAGACUUGGGAAGAGAAUUUUUUAAUGUGAAGGAAAGAGAAGAGAGUGACAAAAAAUUUAAGGAUUGAAAUUUAGAGAAAUUAUACACAUUCACUGUGUUCUUGUGAUGAACAUCAAUAUUCAAAAACUAUUUACUGAGUUAAAUAGCUAAAAUGCAACUAAUUUAUGCCAAAUGAGCAUAAAUAAAUUUUAAGUAUGCAAGGAAGUCUAAAUUAAAUGAAAAUGUUAAAACUCUUUAGUUGAAUUUGGAACAUUUGAGUGGUAGUGAUUCCAGUUGACAAAGUGUCUAAUGCAGGGCUGGAUACCCACGUCUUUCAUCCCAGCACUGGGGAGACAGAGGCAGGCAGUCGCUCAGAGUUGAAUGCCAGCCUGAUCUACAUGGUGAGACCCUGUCUCAAAACACAAAACGAGAGAAAGAAGAAAGAAAAGCAGUUGAAAGAAAAGCAGUUGGUAUGGUGUAAAUGUGUAGAGUUUAUUUGUGAGAGAGGAUGGAGCUAAAAGAAACAAGAUAAACUAUUAAAAUUAAGAAUUUAGGCAUUACCUCAGGGAAAAAGUCUUGAUAGCGAAAGGGAACCACUUUAUCACUAAUAGCUCAUCUGGACCAGAUGCUAACUGCUCUGGGAGUCAUCCUGCACAACCAGGAAAUGAACUUGACUUUUCCAUUUCUCCUGAGGCUUUUUAGGACAGACCCUUCUGCUCUUUGUUAAUUUAAACCUACAUCUUGAGUCAUGCUGUGAUUACUGAAAUAUGCCGAAUGGAUUCUUUUUAUAAGUUUCCUUGGGUGUUUUUUCUGUGAAGAAUUAUAUGUGAUUUUUCAGAUCCAUAACCAUAUCAAUGGCCUAAAUAAUUAAUGGAGGGAAUGUUAAUUUAAAGGGGAUCUGGCAGGAACAUUAAAGGAAGCUUUUAGUCAGCCUGUGGCUAGAUUUAUUGAUUUGGUAAGCAAACCUGUAUUCUUUGCUGACUUUCAGCUAAUGGCUAACUCUGGUCAAAGAAUGGCUUUCGCUUAAGGUUUUGACUUAUUAUAAGUAAGAUUAAGAAUGUCUUAGUAAUUAGGAAUCCUUUAAAACAUAGAACAAAUGUACAAAUAAGACUCAUCUUUUUAUAAUAAGAACACAUACGCCUUUAUCACUUAUUCAUAAGCUAAAGCCAUUAAAAUAAAUCAAAUUAUCAACUUCCAAUCUCUGCAGUCUGGAUCGCUUUAUAGAUCCAGUAAUAGAGUGCUUCUUUCUUAUGACACGGAUGCUUCGAGAUCUCUCACCCUCUUUUCAUUAAAGUAGUUAUCAUUUUUAACUAUAGUCACAAUCCAGUAGGCAACUCUAUUUUUAUUUUGGCAGAGCAAAUUUCACAGAGUCCAUACUUAAUUCUAAGACAAUCCUGGAGACAGGUGUGGUGGCACAGGCCCUUAGUCCUAUCACUUGGGUGGCAGAGGCAGGUGGAUCUCUGUGAGUUCCAGGCCAGGGUUACAUGGGGGGCGGGGGGAAGAAGACAAGGAAUGUAAAGGAAAAGCUAUCCAGUGGGAAAGGCUUUAGGACAAAACUAACUCCAAGAUAGUGUUCCUACGUUGUAAUUUUGAAUGGAUUGCUCAGUCCUAAAUCCUGUCUUAAUUUCCUGUGCCAUGUAGGUAAUGGUGCUGUCCCUUGGUCUCCUGAAUGUUCAUUCAGUAAAGGUGUCCCUUGGAUCACAGUUGAAAACAGUUAUUAUUAACUGUUAGUUAUUAAUAACAGUUACUCAGUACUAAUUGAGGAUGACACAUUUUUAAAGUAGCACCUUUGUGGGGCAUAUAAAAUCAUAUUCACUUGUCUGUAAUAAGCUUUCUUGACUUGCUCUGAAAAUGGAGAUAAUAGAACAAUUUGGGUUUAUGGUUAAAACUCUACAACUAGAUAAUAACAGUUUCCUUCUGCCUUUCAUGAGAUCUGUGUAAAUUGAUGUUUGCCUUAUUUUGAAAGCUGAUCACAUUUGCAGGAAAUAAAUAUCAUUCUUACCAUGGCUAAAUCGAAGCUUUCAGACUUAGGAAUCAUGGUGUGAAACUCAAGAAAGUUUAUUUAAACUAUGCUGGCUUUGCUAGAAUUGGAUACAUUUGUAUGAGCCAAGUAUGAACUAUAUACACUUGAAUAUACAGUUUAAUGAUUUCACAAAGCUAUGUUGUUAAUCAUGGUGUGUAGCCCAUACUAUUUCUUUUCACUUUCUGUGGGUUUGAAAGUUUUUAUCUGAAUAAAUUUUCGCUUAAUUAAAUCUUAAUAUAUGAAAUCCAAAA